rnacentral:rRNA from 1 species
GCAAAUUUACACCGUAACUUCGGGAGAAGGUGUACCGCUGGCGGUUAGUGACUUCGCGUCACGAAGCUGUCGGUGGUCGCAGUGAAAUGGCGGUUGUGACUGUUUACUAAAAACACAGGACUCUGCGAAGUCGUAAGACGACGUAUAGGGUCUGAUGCCUGCCCGGUGCUGGAAGGUUAAGGGGAUAUGUCAGCGCAAGCGAAGCAUUGAACCGAAGCCCCAGUAAACGGCGGCCGUAACGAUAACGGUCCUAAGGUAGCGAAAUUCCUUGUCGGGUAAGUUCCGACCUGCACGAGGGCAUAACAACAUCCGCACUGUCUCGACCAGGGACUCAGCGAAAUUACAUUGGGGGUGAAGAUGCCCUCUACCCGCGGAAAGACGGAAAGACCCCAUGAACCUUUACUGCAACUUGGCAGUGAUUUUCGGGUUGUUCUGCGUAGGAUAGGUGGGAGGCUUUGAAGUCGGGCUUCCGGGUUCGACUGAGCCAACGUUGAAAUACCUCCCUGAAUAAUCUGGAAAUCUAACCUGCGCCCAUGAUCUGGGCGAGGGACACUGCCUGGUGGGCAGUUUGACUGGGGCGGUCGCCUCCUAAAUUGUAACGGAGGCGUGCGACGGUUCCCUCAGGCUGAUUGGAAACCAGCCGUAGAGUGCAAACGCAUAAGGGAGCUUAACUGCGAGACUGACAAGUCGAACAGUUGCGAAAGCAGGUGUUAGUGAUCCGGUGGUACCACAUGGAAGGGCCAUCGCUCAUCGGAUAAAAGGUACUCUGGGGAUAACAGGCUGAUCGCGCCUGAGAGUUCACAUCGGCGGCGCGGUUUGGCACCUCGAUGUCGGCUCAUCGCAUCCUGGGGCUGGAGCAGGUCCCAAGGGUUUGGCUGUUCGCCAAUUAAAGCGGUACGCGAGCUGGGUUUAAAACGUCGUGAGACAGUUUGGUCCCUAUCUUCCGUGGGCGCAGGACACUUGAGAGGAGCUAUCCAUAGUACGAGAGGACCUGGAUGGACGAACCUCUGGUGCUCCGGUUGUCACGCCAGUGGCAUAGCCGGGUAGCCAUGUUCGGAACAGAUAACCGCUGAAGGCAUAUAAGCGGGAAGCUGGCCUCAAGACUAGGUGUCCCUGACGCAGGUCACUAAAGGCCCCUCGAAGACUACGAGGUUGAUAGGCUCGGUGUGGAAGCGCUGCAAGGCGCGGAGCUAACGAGUACUAAUAGGCCGUGCGACUUGACCUC